rnacentral:rRNA from 1 species
GAUGAACGCUGGCGGCGUGCCUAAUACAUGCAAGUCGAGCGAACAGACGAGGAGCUUGCUCCUCUGACGUUAGCGGCGGACGGGUGAGUAACACGUGGAUAACCUACCUAUAAGACUGGGAUAACUUCGGGAAACCGGAGCUAAUACCGUAUAAUAUAUUGAACCGCAUGGUUCAAUAGUGAAAUACGGUUUUUCUGUCACUUAUAGAUGGAUCCGCGCCGCAUUAGCUAGUUGGUAAGGUAACGGCUUACCAAGGCAACGAUGCGUAGCCGACCUGAGAGGGUGAUCGGCCACACUGGAACUGAGACACGGUCCAGACUCCUACGGGAGGCAGCAGUAGGGAAUCUUCCGCAAUGGGCGAAAGCCUGACGGAGCAACGCCGCGUGAGUGAUGAAGGUCUUCGGAUCGUAAAACUCUGUUAUGAGGGAAGAACAAAUGUGUAAGUAACUAUGCACGUCUUGACGGUACCUAAUCAGAAAGCCACGGCUAACUACGUG